AACGAACGCUGGCGGCGUGGAUAAGACAUGCAAGUCGAACGGGAUAACAUCUGUAGCAAUACAGGUGUUAUUUAGUGGCGAACGGGUGCGUAACACGUGGGCAAUCUGCCGAGAAGUGGGGGAUAGCUCGCCGAAAGGCGAAUUAAUACCGCAUAUGAUCAGUGAAGACAUCUUCACGACAUCAAAGCCGGGGCAACCUGGCGCUUCUUGAUGAGCCCGCGGCCUAUCAGCUAGUUGGUGAGGUAACGGCUCACCAAGGCUAUGACGGGUAGCUGGUCUGAGAGGACGACCAGUCACACUGGAACUGAGACACGGUCCAGACACCUACGGGUGGCAGCAGUCGAGAAUUUUUCUCAAUGGGGCAACCCUGAAGGAGCGACGCCGCGUGGAGGAUGAAGGC
rnacentral:rRNA from 1 species